rnacentral:rRNA from 1 species
AGAGUUUGAUCCUGGCUCAGAAUGAACGUUGGCGGCGUGGAAUAGGCAUGCAAGUCGAGCGAGAAGCCCCGCAAGGGGUGGAAAGCGGCGUAAGGGAGAGGAACACGUGGUUCAUCUGCCCUCAGGUCCGGGAUAGCUGCGGGAAACUGCAGGUAAUACCGGAUGACAUCUCCGGAUCAAAGGUGUGAUUCCGCCUGAGGAUGAGACCGCGUCCUAUUAGCUAGUUGGUGAGGUAAUGGCUCACCAAGGCAAUGAUGGGUACCGGGUGUGAGAGCACGACCCGGCUCACUGGGACUGAGACACUGCCCAGACACCUACGGGUGGCUGCAGUCGAGGAUCUUCGGCAAUGGGCGCAAGCCUGACCGAGCGACGCCGCGUGUGGGAUGAAGGCCUUCGGGUUGUAAA